AUGGCUCGGGCCGCCCGGCUCCGCGGCGCGGCCCCACGCGCCCUCCCGCUGCCGCUGCUGCUGCUGCUGCUGCUCCCGCCGCCGCCGCUGCUGCUGGCCCGGGCCCCGCGGCCGCCGGACGCCCCCCGCCGCCACCCCAUGAGCAGAGGGCCACAGCCCCGGCCCAACGCCCCUCCUGACAGCGACACCCCCACCCUGGCCACCCAGGAGGCCCUCCUGCUUGCUGGCCGCCCCAGACCUCCCCGCUGCGGCGUGCCCGACCCGCCCGACGGGCCAAGUGCCCGCAACCGACAGAAGAGGUUCGUGCUGUCGGGCGGGCGCUGGGAGAAGACGGACCUCACCUACAGGAUCCUCCGGUUCCCGUGGCAGCUGCUGCGGGAACAGGUGCGGCAGACGGUGGCGGAGGCCCUCCGAGUGUGGAGUGACGUCACGCCACUCACCUUCACUGAAGUGCACGAGGGCCAUGCCGACAUCGUGAUCGACUUCACCAGGUACUGGCAUGGGGACAACCUGCCCUUCGAUGGACCUGGGGGCAUCCUGGCCCACGCCUUCUUCCCCAAGACCCACCGAGAAGGGGAUGUCCACUUCGACUAUGAUGAGACCUGGACCAUCGGGGACAACCAGGGCACAGACCUCCUGCAGGUGGCGGCCCACGAGUUUGGCCACGUGCUGGGGCUACAGCACACGACAGCUGCGAAGGCCCUGAUGUCCCCCUUCUACACCUUCCGCUACCCACUGAGCCUCAGCCCAGACGACCGCAGGGGCAUCCAGCAGCUGUACGGCCGGCCUCGGCUAGCUCCCACGUCCAGGCCCCCAGACCUGGGCCCCGGCACCGGGGCGGACACCAACGAGAUCGCGCCGCUGGAGCCGGACGCCCCACCGGAUGCCUGCCACGUCUCCUUUGACGCGGCCGCCACCAUCCGCGGCGAGCUCUUCUUCUUCAAGGCAGGCUUCGUGUGGCGGCUGCGCGGGGGCCGGCUGCAGCCUGGCUACCCUGCACUGGCCUCUCGGCACUGGCAGGGGCUGCCCAGCCCUGUGGACGCAGCCUUCGAGGACGCCCAGGGCCACAUCUGGUUCUUCCAAGGAGCUCAGUACUGGGUGUACGACGGCGAGAAGCCGGUCCUGGGCCCUGCGCCCCUCUCUGAGCUGGGGCUCCAGGGGUCCCCGAUCCAUGCCGCCCUGGUGUGGGGCUCCGAGAAGACCAAGAUCUACUUCUUCCGAAGCGGGGACUACUGGCGCUUCCAGCCCAGCACCCGCCGUGUGGACAGCCCCGUGCCGCGCCGGGCCACUGACUGGCGAGGGGUGCCCUCGGAGAUCGACGCGGCCUUCCAGGAUGCUGAAGGCUUCGCCUAUUUCCUGCGUGGCCGCCUCUACUGGAAGUUUGACCCCGUGAAGGUAAAAGCCCUGGAGGGCUUCCCCCGUCUCGUGGGCCCCGACUUCUUCGGCUGUACUGAGGCUGCCAACAGUUUCCGCUGAUCAUCGCCUGCUGU
rnacentral:lncRNA from 1 species